GCCCGUGUGGCGAAAUUGGAUAUCGCUUCGGACUUCUAAGAAGAUGCAAUCCGAGGAUUGCGGGUUCGACCCCCGUCACGGGUA